AGUGAACGCUGGCGGUAGGCCUAACACAUGCAAGUCGAACGGCAGCACAGUAAGAGCUUGCUCUUACGGGUGGCGAGUGGCGGACGGGUGAGGAAUACAUCGGAAUCUACUUUUUCGUGGGGGAUAACGUAGGGAAACUUACGCUAAUACCGCAUACGGCCUACGGGUGAAAGCAGGGGAUCUUCGGACCUUGCGCGAUUGAAUGAGCCGAUGUCGGAUUAGCUAGUUGGCGGGGUAAAGGCCCACCAAGGCGACGAUCCGUAGCUGGUCUGAGAGGAUGAUCAGCCACACUGGAACUGAGACACGGUCCAGACUCCUACGGGAGGCAGCAGUGGGGAAUAUUGGACAAUGGGCGCAAGCCUGAUCCAGCCAUACCGCGUGGGUGAAGAAGGCCUUCGGGUUGUAAAGCCCUUUUGUUGGGAAAGAAAAGCAGCAGGUUAAUACCCCGCUGUCCUGACGGUACCCAAAGAAUAAGCACCGGCUAACUUCGUG
rnacentral:rRNA from 1 species